AGGGAAUCUUGCGCAAUGGGCGAAAGCCUGACGCAGCAACGCCGCGUGGGGGACGAAGGCCUUCGGGUUGUAAACCCCUUUCAGCAGGGACGAAACUGACGGUACCUGCAGAAGAAGCCCCGGCCAACUACGUGCCAGCAGCCGCGGUAACACGUAGGGGGCGAGCGUUGUCCGGAUUUAUUGGGCGUAAAGAGCUCGUAGGCGGUUCGGUAAGUCAGAUGUGAAAGUCAAGGGCUCAACCCUGGGAAGCCAUCUGAUACUGCCGUGACUAGAGUCCGGUAGGGGAGCGUGGAAUUCCUGGUGUAGCGGUGAAAUGCGCAGAUAUCAGGAGGAACACCAGCGGCGAAGGCGGCGCUCUGGGCCGGUACUGACGCUGAGGAGCGAAAGCAUGGGGAGCGAAC
rnacentral:rRNA from 1 species